rnacentral:lncRNA from 1 species
GGGAAGAUGGCGUUGCAAGGUUGGGUACAGCGAGGCUGGCGCUGCGGUCCGGCGUGGGCGCCUCCCUUGGGUGGCGGCUACCGGGAGCUCUCUGCGACCCAGGCCCCGCGGCUGCUUGGACGCAGGUAAUGGCCGCCGCUUCCAGCUCCCCCGGCUUCCCAUGAGCUGGGGUUGCGCGCAUCCUCGGGGGAUAGGUAGCCGUGUGGGGCUCCCGCUUUCCAUUGUUUACGAGGUCUUUGCUAAAGCUGACUCCUCCCUGCCUAGCUUUUCCUUGGUCCUCCUUUCCCUACUGGCUUCUGGGUGCCGAGCCGCGAGAGGUGUCUGGCCGAGCCCGGCCCGGUUCUCCGGACCCGCGGUCUUUCCUAGUAGUUCCGAGGGAUGUGAUGGAAAGGGGAACUUCUGAGCGUUAAUUGCAUGUCCGGCUCAUAUUCUUGAAAGGGCUGUACUGCUGUAGGAAGCACGUGGCCUUUCCGGCCGGCCGGAUCUUACAUGAAGUGUAAUAGAAGAGAAAUUCCAUAGCAGUUGAAUUAAUACUGACGUUGAAACUUAGUCCGAAGAUGUCAACUUUGCAACUUCUACCUAAUUGAUGGUACCAUACACACCAAGGGGCCUGAGGUCUUUAUAAACGUGUGAGCUAGCCAGAGAUGAGAUUGAGCCUGGCGAAGGCACCACCUGAUCUUAAAAUUCACCCGAGGUGGGCACAGGUCUGUAAUCUCAACUCUCAGUAGUCUGAAUCAGGAGGAUGGCGAGUUGGAGCCAAGCUGGGAAAGGCUGAAUUAUAAAUAAAUAAACAGCACCUGGACUAUAUGUAGAUUCAUUUCCCAGGUGCCACCCAAAAUCAGAAUCUUGGAAAGUGGCGAAAGCGGAAGAACCUGCUCCUCAAGUGAAGCUUAUUAACAUCUGUGGAAAAGUUGCAUAUGGUGUAGCUUACUGGCUAACGUUUAAAAUCAGGCAUUGCUUUUAAACAGCUUGGUGUGGUCAGACUUGCUUGUAAGCAGGGUUAGGCGUUCAAGGCUAGGCUGGGCAGCAGAAGACUG